ACUCCUACGGGAGGCAGCAGUGGGGAAUAUUGGACAAUGGGGAACCCGUAGAUCCAGCCAUGCCGCGUGUGUGAAGAAGGCCUUCGGGUUGUAAAGCACUUUCAGUGGGGAGGAAAGGUUGAUGGUUAAUACCUAUCAGCUGUGACGUUACCCACAGAAGAAGCACCGGCUAACUCCGUGCCAGCAGCCGCGGUAAUACGGAGGGUGCAAGCGUUAAUCGGAAUUACUGGGCGUAAAGCGUGCGCAGGCGGUCUGUUAAGCGAGAUGUGAAAGCCCCGGGC
rnacentral:rRNA from 1 species